AUACGUAGGGUGCAAGCGUUAAUCGGAAUUACUGGGCGUAAAGCGUGCGCAGGCGGUUCGGAAAGAAAGGUGUGAAAUCCCAGGGCUUAACCUUGGAACUGCACUUUUAACUAACGAACUAGAGUAUGUCAGAGGGGGGUAGAAUUCCACGUGUAGCAGUGAAAUGCGUAGAGAUGUGGAGGAAUACCGAUGGCGAAGGCAGCCCCCUGGGAUAAUACUGACGCUCAUGCACGAAAGCGUGGGGAGC
rnacentral:rRNA from 1 species